rnacentral:misc_RNA from 1 species
AUACAGUCUAAUUCGUUGAAUAUCCAAGCAUGAAGUCCAAGCCGAGGGUAUUAAAUUUUAAUAGUUGCUAUAAGCAAACAAGUUUCAAAAGGAGAUGCAGAAGGAUGGUUCGCUGUUUUAUGGUAUAUCAUCUUACGGUAUAUACCCAAUUUUAUUUGCUGUUCUAUGGCUGCUAUUGUUGGCUGACAUUAGUUUUGAAAAAUGAUUGCCAUUGAUUCUCGAUUGUUCUUCAGAGUAGGUAAAAUUUUUUUGUUUCUUCCCCUCUUGUUUCAAGUCAUUCUUCGGAUAUUGAGCCAGCUGAAACAGUCCUAAACUUUUUAUGUAGCUCGCUGCUAAGCCCUG